AAGAUGAUUCAUACGAUCAAUUCUAUAGAAAGCCCUUUACGAGACCACUGCGUAAGACUACACCAGCCAUGUUUAAGAGAUGUGGCGCGGUGUCCUGAGCGUGAGACAGACGAAGACCUGUUGUUAUCAAUAUACGAUGAUCUUUCACUUGACUCCUUCGAGGGUCAGGCGUGGCAAACCGUCACUUUCUGAGUGGC